rnacentral:rRNA from 1 species
CUACGGGUCGCAGCAGUGGGGAAUAUUGCACAAUGGGGGAAACCCUGAUGCAGCGACGCCGCGUGAGUGAAGAAGUAUUUCGGUAUGUAAAGCUCUAUCAGCAGGGAAGAAAAUGACGGUACCUGACUAAGAAGCCCCGGCUAACUACGUGCCAGCAGCCGCGGUAAUACGUAGGGGGCAAGCGUUAUCCGGAUUUACUGGGUGUAAAGGGAGCGUAGACGGUGAGACAAGUCUGAAGUGAAAUCCCGGGGCUCAACCCCGGAACUGCUUUGGAAACUGCCUGACUAGAGUGCAGGAGAGGUAAGUGGAAUUCCUAGUGUAGCGGUGAAAUGCGUAGAUAUUAGGAGGAACACCAGUGGCGAAGGCGGCUUACUGGACUGUAACUGACGUUGAGGCUCGAAAGCGUGGGGAGCAAACAGGAUUAGAUACCCUCGUAGUC